rnacentral:rRNA from 1 species
UACGGAGGGGGCGAGCGUUGUCCGAAGUUACUGGGCGUAAAGGGCGCGUAGGCGGUUAGCUAAGUCCGCUGUCAAAGCCCGGGGCUUAACCCCGGAAGGUCGGUGGAGACUGGUUUUCUUGAAGCUGCCAGGGGGAGAUGGAAUUACCGGUGUAGCGGUGAAAUGCGUAGAUAUCGGUAGGAACACCAGUGGCGAAGGCGGUCUACUGGAGCAGACUUGACGCUGAGGCGCGAAAGCUGGGGGAGCGAACGGG